UGGGGAAUUUUGGACAAUGGGCGAAAGCCUGAUCCAGCAAUGCCGCGUGUGUGAAGAAGGCCUUCGGGUUGUAAAGCACUUUUGUCCGGAAAGAAAUCCUUGGCUCUAAUACAGUCGGGGGAUGACGGUACCGGAAGAAUAAGCACCGGCUAACUACGUGGCCAGCAGCCGCGGUAAUACGUAGGGUGCAAGCGUUAAUCGGAAUUACUGGGCGUAAAGCGUGCGCAGGCGGUUUGCUAAGACCGAUGUGAAAUCCCCGGGCUCAACCUGGGAACUGCAUUGGUGACUGGCAGGCUAGAGUAUGGCAGAGGGGGGUAGAAUUCCACGUGUAGCAGUGAAAUGCGUAGAGAUGUGGAGGAAUACCGAUGGCGAAGGCAGCCCCCUGGGCCAAUACUGACGCUCAUGCACGAAAGCGUGGGGAGCAAACAGGAUUAGAUACCCUGGUAGUCCACGCCCUAAACGAUGUCAACUAGUUGUUGGGGAUUCAUUUCCUUAGUAACGUAGCUAACGCGUGAAGUUGACCGCCUGGGGAGUACGGUCGCAAGAUUAAACUUAAAGGAAUUGACGGGGUCAUAGCUG
rnacentral:rRNA from 1 species